UCCAGAUUGUGCAUCAUUGUGUAGUUGC
rnacentral:sRNA from 1 species